CCUUCCAGGACCACUUUGCAGUACCAUUUCCUGGCAUGGAAAGACUUCGGAGUGCCGGAGGACCAAGAAAGUCUACUGCAGCUCAUCAGCGCUGUCAAGACUGACCUGGUAGCUGUGACACCUGCUGCCAACCAGCACAUUGUCGUGCAUUGCAGUGCGGGUGUGGGGAGGACGGGAAGCUUCAUUGCUGUCUGGAACUUGUGUCAUUUGUUCAAGCUUCAUCGACGAGAGACGAGCGUUCAGAGCGUCGUGCUGGCACUACGAGAGUCCAGAACAAAGCUUGUCCAAACAAAGGACCAGUACCUGUACGUAAACAAAUGCUACGAAGCCUUCCGAAAAUCUCCAGACCGCUGGCCUCUGCCAGAGUACGCUCCUCCCAAGAAUGGCAUCGCUGAACCUGCUAUAUAUGAGAACUGGACUGGGAAUCAAGUCGACGACGAUGAGAACUUCUAUGAGAACUUCGACAUGACCCCCAAAUGAGUGCAGCAUUACGUGCGUGCCAUUCAUGAUAAAUAUUAACUCGCUUAAUAAUCGGGUACUAUGCAGAACUACUCAUCCUAUAUUGUAUUUAAACGAAGUUUUAAUGCAUAGUAACAAAGGACCGGUAAAUAACUUGAAAAUUGAGCAAUAGAGUAUAGUUCGUAAAUAAGAAGCCAUGACCGAGGAACUAGUGAGCGGCUCAAUUUUUUCAUCAACGACGAUUAAUUUCUCCGAUAACUUGGCCGGAAGUUCGUGUUCUUAGUUUUAAAGUGGAAAUAAUAAGUGCGUGUUACAACUUAUGUUCACCAGUAGAAAAAUGGGAUAUAGAGAAUUCUUUGAAAAGCUAAAUUCGAACUGAAUGCGAUUGUAGGACACAUACCAUUGUUGAAUAUUACUGUUGAAAGGAUAAGUUAUUUAUUAGGCACAAAAUUUAUCACUUGGUGUGGAGAAAAUUAGUCUUGGCGUCUAACGCGUGCAUUAUUUUAUUCAGCCGUCUAGCGUUCAUUCGAAUAAUGUAAAAAUUAUUUUUUUU